ensembl:lncRNA
CUAGACGUGAACGAUGCUUACUGUAUCGAUUCACGGUAAGUACCUUGAUCAAGGCUCCUGCAGGUGGAGGUGCGAUUCUAAGGUGUUAUCCACCUUCAAGGUGAGCGCUCUAACCACAACGCCACCUGCCGGCCCGACUUUUUUAAGUUUCACACGCAGCUCUAAAACCGCGCAGUAUAAAUAAACGAGCCCGGGCGCGAAUUCGUGCUCUCAUACCGUGCGCGUCCUCAUGCUGCGCGCGCCCUCGCCAAAGCGUUCGGUUGCCAGGAUACCAACAAAGUUAUCGGAGAUGGUAGUUGUCCAGCAGCUGACUUCGGCGGCCUGCUAACGUUUCCAAUGAGAGUUCGGGAUGGGCUGCCGCGCCCUCGAGCUCGUCGACGAGCCGCACUGCCUCCAGGUCGCGUGCCCGCAUCCCUGUUGCUGGGAGACGGAGCGGCGCGUCGUCAGCGGCACCCAGCGCUACGUCAAGGCCGGAGCGCGCGCCGGGCCCGGAGAGCGAUCGCGAGAGGAGCGUCCCACCCUCAGCGUUGUAAAUGCCUGCGAGUGGGUGGAACCCAGGCACCCCCCCAGGAGCGGCGUGCUGCGUAAGGGUGCGCUGAGAGGACACAGCCUCCCGGACACCCCCGCACAGGGCCCCAGUGCGGCUGCCGCCGGGUCCCCAAAAAUAACCUCCGGCCCUCAGAGUGCUGUGGCUGUGGACAAGAAGGAUUGCAAGGCUGCAAAGCUCAGCCAGGCCCAGAUCGGCCCCCUCCAUAGCCGCCGCGAACCCAGCUCUGUGAUGAUGUGGGUACCCAACCCCCAGUACAGCCCGCACCCUUCCCCCCAACACAGGCCAAAGACGCCUCACGUAGCUAUUGCACAGCUCUCCUACAGCUUGCUCCCCCAGUUGACUGUGACCCCUGGAAUGGACAAGAAGAAGUCGAAAGCUGGGAGGCAGAAGGUGCGAUUCCAGCUGCACAGCUCGCCAGACGCGUCCUUCCGUGGUUCUGGGGGUGCCGCGUUGGACGGAGCUGGCGUGAACGGGCUAGCCAAGGACUCCGCCUCACCCGGAGAGGUAGGGGGCGCUAGCAAGCCGGUCUGGGAGAACCAGCAGACGGCGGCAACGGCAAAAGCCCGACGCGAGUUCGUGGAGAACAAGACCGCCGUCUUCCACAGCGUGAGGGACUGGAGGCUGAGAGCGUCCCCCCCCCAACACGCCUCAGCACCCCAGAACAAACCAGGCAGCAAGAAGCCCAGGGGCAGCGCUGACCGGCAGAGCAACCCCUGGAACAGGUACAACGCCUCUGGCGGACACCCCAGGGAGAGACCCGCUGUCCCGGCGAGGGUAGCGUUGGGCAACGGGACCCCGAAGGCCUCACAGGGGCCCUCCGGCGAGAGGCGCGAACACCCCCCAGGCCACUCCCCCCAGCGGUCAAUCGCGGCUCGGGCUGAAGCGGUGACAUCGCGCCCCAACGCCGCUUUCGGCCUUUCGUGAGAAAGCCGACGCGCUCGUUUCCGGGCAGCGCGACGACGGCGGCCUCUUAGUGGCGACGCUUAAUUACGAGUGCUGUUUGGUGCCAAGAACAAUGCAGAGGAUCGGUGCGAAAUGUGGCUUCUGCAGCUCGGGCGUCGACUCCGGUCCAAAGCGCCCAGGGAUAAUUUCACGUGUUUACAUUGCCUUUGAUGUGCGUAUUUCAUGGAGUGCGCAGAUUUUCGCCGAGAUUAUUUUCUUCAUUUUUCCAUGCUCGUAAUUUCAGGGUGUGCGUCAGUAUAGAGCUCCUUUUUCCUGUUUCUGACUUUGCCAGUAUAUUGUACAGAUCCAAAUGCACAGUAUUUUUUUAAAAACCAAAGUACAUUUUCAGAGCUUUUUCAUUUUUUUUAACCAACCAAUACAGACCGUUCUAUUAAGGUAAACAUGUCCAUUUAUUUUAUUCUUUGAAACCAAAAGGCACAAUAUUAAAGCUCACAAAGGAAGCCAGCUGAUACUGCACAGAGUUGUGUUGUGACAUUUAUUCAUUUAGCAGAUGCUUUGUUUAAGUGACUUUCAGUAUCAAGCUACUUACAAUUACUUAAUAAUUUAUAUAGCUGGGUAAUUUUACUCAAGCAAUUUAGGAUAACUGCCUUGCUUAAGGGAACUGCAGCUGGGAUUCAAACCUGCAGCAUUUGAAUCCAAAGGCAAUAGCUCUUACCACUACACUACUAACUGUCCCCAUUGUCUUAUACCAGAGGAGCUCUGAGAAUAAGUGACACAUGCAUUACAUAUUUAUACAUAAAUUAAUAUAUAUAUAUAAAUCAGUAUUUUACAUUGCAGGCGUCAGUGAUGUUAUUGCUGUAUGAUAUAAGGAAAAGAAUGCUUUGUGAAACUGGGUUGUGACAACAUUCAGAAAAAAAGAAUUUGUAAGUUAAAACGAAUGCAUUAUAGAACAAAAAGUUGUAUUAAUAUUUGCGUGUUGGAAUUAAAAUUAAAACUGUAGUUGGGCUCAGUUUUUAUUACU